AGUGUUCGAUUAAGCCAUGCGAGUUAAAUGUUCUUCGUGAACAUAGCAGACUGCUCAGUAACACGUGGAUAACCUGCCCUUAGGACUGGCAUAACCCCGGGAAACUGGGGAUAAUUCCGGAUAGAUCAUAAAUGCUGGAAUGCUUUAUGAUUGAAAGGUUUCGACCGCCUAGGAUGGAUCUGCGGCCUAUCAGGUUGUAGUGGGUGUAAUGUACCUACUAGCCUACGACGGGUACGGGUUGUGGAAGCAAGAGCCCGGAGAUGGAUUCUGAGACAUGAAUCCAGGCCCUACGGGGCGCAGCAGGCGCGAAAACUUUACAAUGCGGGAAACCGUGAUAAGGGAACACUGAGUGCUAGCAUUUAUGUUAGCUGUCCACAUGUGUAAAUAGCAUGUGAUAGCAAGGGCUGGGCAAGACCGGUGCCAGCCGCCGCGGUAACACCGGCAGCCCGAGUGGUGAUCACUAUUAUUGGGUCUAAAGGGUCCGUAGCCGGUUUAAUCAGUCUUCUGGGAAAUCUGAUCGCUUAACUAUUAGGCUUCCAGGGGAUACUGUUAGACUUGGGGCCGGGAGAGGUAAGAGGUACUGCAGGGGUAGGAGUGAAAUCUUGUAAUCCCUGUGAGACCACCAGUGGCGAAGGCGUCUUACCAGAACGGGUCCGACGGUGAGGGACGAAAGCUGGGGGCACGAACCGGAUUAGAUACCCGGGUAGUCCCAGCUGUAAACGAUGCUUGUNAGGUGUCAGGAACGGUGCGACUGUUUCUGGUGCCGAAGGGAAGCCGUGAAACGA
rnacentral:rRNA from 1 species